GCUAAACUUCAGCGUCACAUCACUGAAUCACUAAACAAGCUGAGCAGGAAGUCGUCCUGAAGCCAGUAAGGUUCUUUCCUGAAAAGGAAUGAAGGAUCUUUCACAGCAGUUCCACACAGAAAGUCAGCAAGCGAUGAUUUUUUCCGAUUUUAUCAUAUGGACUAACUUCAUGUUCUGCCUUCCUUUGACCUUAGUGGUCAUCUGUUGGUUGUGUUGCUUGGUACGAAAGGAGCAUGUGAUCUAUUUCACUAACCUGCUCAUUGCCAAUCUCGUCCACAUCAGCAUAAUGUUCACCUGGCAGUUGAAGCGAGGAUCUUUAAUUGAACAAGAUGACAUUAUUUGCAUAGCUGGUUUGACGGCUAGUUGGUAUUUCAAGACAUACAUUGCUAUUGAAAGGUGUUUUGUUAUCACCUGCCCAAAGUUGAAGUGCAGCAGACAAACUAAGGGGUCCAUGCUGGUUUCUCUCUUGAUUUGGAUCCUUUGUAUUGCAACUGUAUUUCCUACUGUAGUCUUCAAGAAGUUUCUUAUCCUCUAUAUUUUUGCCCUCCUUCCAGCUCUCCUGUUCAUCCUGUUUUUAGUAUGGACCUUUCACGCCUUGGCUGCUGACACCUUAGUGACCACUGAUGAAAAACAAAGAAUUGUACGAAUUUUCCUUUUGUUCUUCUUUAAUUAUUUUCUGAUGAUCCUUCCCGGUGUCAUCUGUUCUCUUGGAGUAUUUUUGGAUAACGACUGCUUUAAAGUUAUCGCUGAUAAACUUUUAACUUUGUUGCUUCUCGGCCCUUUUCUGGAUUUGAUUCUGGUUUGUUUCAUGCGUAUAAGAUGCAGAUUCGACAACACUGCAGCAGACGUAGCUGAACAUCGGCAGCCAGGUUGGGUGAUGUCGCAAAUACUAAGGGACAGAGAAAAUAGGAUACAAACUGUGUGAAAGAUGUGGAUAAAAUAUGCAAACAAAAACAUUUACAAAUAUUGCUGUAAAGGAGACAACUGACAGGGAGUUUUACUUGAUGUAUAUAAGAAGUGUGUUCUCAGCUAACGUUUCUUUGGUUGUCGACCACCUGAAACUCAGUUACUAGAAGUUACUCUUCACAGGAAGCAUCUUAAUGAUGAUUUAUGAAGGAAUUUUAAAAAAUUUAAAAUUUAAAAUUAAAAAAAAUUGCAUUUCUUAUCUGAUGUAGUGAUGCAUAACAAUGUAAAGCUAAAGCCAUGAACCACUGUUUGACUUAUUGUGCUGUAUUUUUUCUACACAGACUGUUGUUCAGAUCAUAACUUUAUGCAUGACAGCUUUUACUGUCAUAGACUGUGGAUUUUGUCAGUUCAUUUUUGAGCCAUUAAUAUUUGGUAUUGUUGAGUUUUGAUUACUAUUUGACUGGGUUUCCUUAUUUUAUUUUAAGAUUAUUCUAGCAUUCUGAGUUCUGUUUUAGAGUUAUAAUUUUGAAAUAUGUAGCCUUAUAAUUUGGUAUUUGAGUCUUUGUUUUACUUGACUUUAGUAAAAAACUUCUGUGUUUCUCUAUUUUGCUGAUUCUUUUUUGUUUGUUUAGUUACUUCAUGUUUUAUUUUGUGAGUUCUUUGUCUCUUGUGCCUUGUCUUUAGUUUGACUUCCCUGUGACUUGUUCUCUAGAUUGAGUUCAGCUAUGUCUUGGUACAUUUAUGUUUCCAUUCUCCCUGACUGUCUUUUUCGUGUAUUUAAAGUUAAAGUGUUCUCCUGCUUUGGGUUUAUUAUCAUCUUCACAUAAUCUUUUCCUGUUUAAUCUGGUCAUCUGGGUGACAAGACCCGCUGGAGAUUGUAAAAAGAAAGGAAAAAAACUGCAAAACCCCCCAACAAACAAAGUAUCUUAUUUUUUCUGAAAAACUCGUAACUCUGUCAAGGGGAAACCUGCGUUGAUAUAAGAUUAGAACAUGAUUUUGUGUCAUUUAAAUGCUCCAUAAGGAUAUUGUACUAGGUUAUUCAGUUUAGUGCAUGUUAAACUGGUUGGUUUCCAGUGUUGUUGUGCAGUUUACAGAGCCAUCUGUGGUGUUCAUGGUAAAACGCAGAUCAAGGGCAGAUCCAACGAUUUUGAUGUUUGUGAAGUUUUGCCACAAGAGUCAGGGGUUUUGUAACUGUAGUUUUGAGAAAAGAAAAUCUGUCUUCUCAGAAAAACUGUAUUUGAGUGUUAGCCACUUGACUUUGAAUUACUGUGUGCUGCAUUUUUAGAUUUUGAAUGUCAACUUCUUUCUAUAUUUACUGUGUCUGAGUCUGUCAUAUGUGUUACUUUCAGUGAAACCUUUUAUCUUCUCCUCCAUUUUUGUCUUCUGAUUUCAAAUCUACAGAAGAACAAUGUUGAAAUGGAUUUGCCACCAGCUGCUUUACCAACACACAGACUCUUUAGUGAAGAAAGUAGUGAACUAUUAAAUAAAUGCAUCAGACAGAAAGCUGACUUGAUGAUUUAUUAAUUAUGAGCGAAAUUUAUAUGUGCCUCACUUGUUACAGUUACACAGCUAGCUUAAACAUUAUAUUUUACAGGACUGCAUCCUCCAAGGAACAGACAGACUGUGGUGUUUUACAUAAUUGUAUUUUUUUAAAAAUACCUUUCCGUGCAGAAUUUGAAAUUUCAGUAUGCUUGUGUGUGUUUCCUCAGCUGUUUUGGUUUCAUCCCACAGUCCAAGUUUACUUAAAUUGAACACAAAAUAAUGUUAUGCAAGAUAAUCUUUUAAGACUUUUCUAUGCUAAAUGAUUUUUAUAUCAUAUAUUCAUGAAGU